rnacentral:tRNA from 1 species
GGAGGCGAAUGGGGUCUGGUGACUUCCCCGGGCUUCAAACCCGGUGGGCGACGGCGAGAGCCGACGCCGGUGGGUUCGAUUCCCACGCGCCUCCGCCA